rnacentral:tRNA from 1 species
GACCGCAUAGCUCAGUUGGAAGAGCAUUGGGCUGGUAUUCCAAAGGUCGUAGGUUCGAAUCCCACCGUGGCCG